rnacentral:snRNA from 1 species
AGCUUUGCACAGUGGCAGUAUUACAGUCAAUGAGGUUUAUUUGAGGCGUGAUUAUUGCUAAUUGUUAUAGUUGUCAUUGUUGUUUAGUGGGCCUGGGCCGGGCUCGAACCUGCCAGCCCUGGUGUAUGUGACUGGUGCCCUAACCAUUGAGCUACUGAGACUAGAAAAUAUUUUGGACUCUUAGAUUUAUG